GACACAGCCAGGACAGCUGACCCAAACUGGCCAAAGGAAUAUUCCAUACUUGCCCAGUAUAUAAACUGGGGGCAGUUGGCCUGGGGGGCAGGUGGCUGCUUGGGAACUAACUGGGCAUCAGUCGCAUGCGAAACAGCCCAAGAAAAACAAAGAAAGAUGAACACUAAAAGAAAGAAGAUGAAGACCAGACUCUAAGCAUGGCCUUGGUUUGUGGUUUAAUGAACUUAUGAAGAGGAUAAUUGUCUAUUUCAUCUGGGACUAAAAUCUGAACUGUGGAAAACCUAAGCAGAUCUGAUUAAAUACUUUUUCAGUGGUGGAGCCACAAUGCUUAGACACUGCUUAGAAAUGCUUAGAGACUAGACAGAAGACAAGUUUCAGAAAAUGUACAUUUGCCUAACUAAUUUUGAAUCAAUUAAAAACAACUCUGAAGCAGACACAUAAGGUAAUAAGUUUCAAAGAGGAAGAAAAGAUGCAGAAGAAAAGCAGCCUUCCUAUGUCAUGAAGAGGAGACAAAGCUAUAUGGUCCUUCUUUUUUCUGAAUAGACCACGUGGAGGAAGAAGCAAGCAUUUAGGACCCUUUUGUCCAGGGACAAAAGAUUCUGCAUUUUCAGGCCUGAGCAGAACUGCAAUUUCAGAUAACAACAUUUUUGUGAGUUACUUGAGAAAAAUUAUACUCUUCUCUUGAUUUCUACUAAACAUCUAUCCCUAUUCUGUCAUUGAUAUGUCUGUGUAUGGAGAAUAGAUGUGUGCAUAUCUCUGUGAGGAAGAAUGCUUUAAUAGCUUCCUAAAAAGCUUUUCUGUAUGACAAAUUGCCACUAAAUGAGUUAAUACAUUAUUGUGAGUUAAAGACGUCGUUCUUAAUCCACUACCUUUGCUUUGAUUCCAGACUUUGUUAUUUUACACAGUAAAGAAUAAAACCCCAAAGAAAGUAGCAUCAGUGAUGGAAAGUGGUACACCAGAGUUGUUCUAAGUGCCUGAACUGUUUCCUUAACAUGGAUCAAGGGAUUUUCACUGGGCUACCUCUUCAGGUAAGAUACCAUGUGCAGAAUGCUUGUGUGAGUCCUACAGACACAUACACUUCACCUUAUUGGGUCAACACAUUGGAUUGCCUAAAAUACUGCAUCAGUUUUCAACUUUCUUGUCAGUUUAAGACUCCAAA